rnacentral:rRNA from 1 species
CACGUAGGGCGCAAGCGUUGUCCGGAAUUAUUGGGCGUAAAGAGCUCGUAGGCGGUUUGUUACGUCUGCUGUGAAAACCUAGGGCUUAACCCUGGGCCUGCAGUGGAUACGGGCAGACUAGAGGUAGGUAGGGGAGAAUGGAAUUCCUGGUGUAGCGGUGGAAUGCGCAGAUAUCAGGAGGAACACCAAUGGCGAAGGCAGAUCUCUGGGCCGUAACUGACGCUGAGGAGCGAAAGCAUGGGGAGCGAACAGG